rnacentral:rRNA from 1 species
AGAGUUUGAUCCUGGCUCAGAUUGAACGCUGGCGGAAUGCUUUACACAUGCAAGUCGAACGGCAGCACGAGAGCUUGCUCUUGGUGGCGAGUGGCGAACGGGUGAGUAAUAUAUCGGAACGUAUCCAAUAAUGGGGGAUAACUAAUCAAAAGGUUGGCUAAUACCGCAUACGCCCUACGGGGGAAAGCAGGGGAUCUUCGGACCUUGCGUUAAUGGAGCGGCUGAUAUCUGAUUAGCUAGUAGGUGAGGUAAAGGCUCACCUAGGCUUCGAUCAGUAGCUGGUCUGAGAGGACGACCAGCCACACUGGAACUGAGACACGGUCCAGACUCCUACGGGAGGCAGCAGUGGGGAAUUUUGGACAAUGGGCGCAAGCCUGAUCCAGCCAUUCCGCGUGAGUGAAGAAGGCCUUCGGGUUGUAAAGCUCUUUCGCAAGGGAAGAAACGUUACGAGCGAAUAACUCGUGAUAAUGACGGUACCUUGAUAAGAAGCACCGGCUAACUACGUGCCAGCAGCCGCGGUAAUACGUAGGGUGCGAGCGUUAAUCGGAAUUACUGGGCGUAAAGCGUGCGCAGGCGGUUUUGUAAGUCAGAUGUGAAAUCCCCGAGCUCAACUUGGGAACUGCGUUUGAAACUACAAGGCUAGAGUAUGGUAGAGGGGGGUAGAAUUCCCACGUGUAGCAGUGAAAUGCGUAGAGAUGUGGAGGAAUACCAAUGGCGAAAGGCAGCCCCCUGGACUAAUACUGACGCUCAUGCACGAAAGCGUGGGGAGCAAACAGGAUUAGAUACCCUGGUAGUCCACGCCCUAAACGAUGUCUACUAGUUGUUGGGAGAGUAAAAUCUCUUAGUAACGCAGCUAACGCGUGAAGUAGACCGUCUGGGGAGUACGGUCGCAGAUUAAACUCAAAGGAAUUGACGGGG